rnacentral:misc_RNA from 1 species
CUUGGGGAUAAAAGAAUAGGGAUCAAGACUAGUGUUCUGGAGGAAAAAGCUACAGCAUGUAACAUGCUUUGCUGCUAUGCUGAUGAAUUGAAGGAAGGAUUUUUCCCGUGGAUUGAUCAGGUAGCUACUACAUUGGUUCCUCUCCUUAAGUUUUAUUUCCAUGAAGAAGUUAGGAAGGCUGCAGUUUCAGCUAUGCCUGAACUAUUACGUUCAGCUAAGCUAGCUAUAGAAAAGGGUCAAUCUCAUGGACGGAAUGAGUUGUAUUUGAAACAAUUGUCCGAUUACAUUCUUCCUGCUUUGGUGGAGGCUUUACACAAGGAGCCAGAGGUG